rnacentral:rRNA from 1 species
GAUGAACGCUGGCGGCGUGCCUAAUACAUGCAAGUCGAGCGAACAGACGAGGAGCUUGCUCCUUCGACGUUAGCGGCGGACGGGUGAGUAACACGUAGGUAACCUAACUAUAAGACUGGGAUAACUUCGGGAAACCGGAGCUAAUACCGGAUAAUAUUUCGAACCGCAUGGUUCGAUAGUGAAAGAUGGCUUUGCUAUCACUUAUAGAUGGACCUGCGCCGUAUUAGCUAGUUGGUAAGGUAACGGCUUACCAAGGCAACGAUACGUAGCCGACCUGAGAGGGUGAUCGGCCACACUGGAACUGAGACACGGUCCAGACUCCUACGGGAGGCAGCAGUAGGGAAUCUUCCGCAAUGGGCGAAAGCCUGACGGAGCAACGCCGCGUGAGUGAUGAAGGUCUUCGGAUCGUAAAACUCUGUUAUUAGGGAAGAACAAACGUGUAAGUAACUGUGCACGUCUUGACGGUACCUAAUCAGAAAGCCACGGCUAACUACGUG